rnacentral:rRNA from 1 species
GAUGAACGCUGGCGGCGUGCCUAAUACAUGCAAGUCGAGCGAACGGACGAGAAGCUUGCUUCUCUAAUGUUAGCGGCGGACGGGUGAGUAACACGUGGAUAACCUACCUAUAAGACUGGGAUAACUUCGGGAAACCGUAGCUAAUACCGGAUAAUAUUUUGAACCGCAUAGUUCAAAAGUGAAAGACGGUCUUGCUGUCACUUAUAGAUGGAUCCGCGCUGCAUUAGCUAGUUGGUAAGGUAACGGCUUACCAAGGCAACGAUGCAUAGCCGACCUGAGAGGGUGAUCGGCCACACUGGAACUGAGACACGGUCCAGACUCCUACGGGAGGCAGCAGUAGGGAAUCUUCCGCAAUGGGCGAAAGCCUGACGGAGCAACGCCGCGUGAGUGAUGAAGGUCUUCGGAUCGUAAAACUCUGUUAUUAGGGAAGAACAUAUGUGUAAGUAACUGUGCACAUCUUGACGGUACCUAAUCAGAAAGCCACGGCUAACUACGUG